GUCCACGCCGUAAACGAUGGAUGCUAGCCGUUGGCAAGCUUGCUUGUCAGUGGCGCAGCUAACGCAUUAAGCAUCCCGCCUGGGGAGUACGGCCGCAAGGUUGAAACUCAAAGGAAUUGACGGGGGCCCGCACAAGCGGUGGAGCAUGUGGUUUAAUUCGACGCAACGCGCAGAACCUUACCAGGCCUUGACAUCCCGUGCUAAGCCCCAGAGAUGGGUGGUCCUCGCAAGAGGCGCGGAGACAGGUGCUGCAUGGCUGUCGU
rnacentral:rRNA from 1 species